rnacentral:rRNA from 1 species
GAUUUGAAAGGCGCUUUCGGGUGUCGCUGAUGGAUGGACCCGCGGUGCAUUAGCUAGUUGGUGAGGUAACGGCUCACCAAGGCGACGAUGCAUAGCCGACCUGAGAGGGUGAUCGGCCACAUUGGGACUGAGACACGGCCCAAACUCCUACGGGAGGCAGCAGUAGGGAAUCUUCGGCAAUGGACGAAAGUCUGACCGAGCAACGCCGCGUGAGUGAAGAAGGUUUUCGGAUCGUAAAACUCUGUUGUUAGAGAAGAACAAGGAUGAGAGUAACUGUUCAUCCCUUGACGGUAUCUAACCAGAAAGCCACGGCUAACUACGUGCCAGCAGCCGCGGUAAUACGUAGGUGGCAAGCGUUGUCCGGAUUUAUUGGGCGUAAAGCGAGCGCAGGCGGUUUCUUAAGUCUGAUGUGAAAGCCCCCGGCUCAACCGGGGAGGGUCAUUGGAAACUGGGAGACUUGAGUGCAGAAGAGGAGAGGGGAAUUCCAUGUGUAGCGGUGAAAUGCGUAGAUAUAUGGAGGAACACCAGUGGCGAAGGCGGCUCUCUGGUCUGUAACUGACGCUGAGGCUCGAAAGCGUGGGGAGCAAACAGGAUUAGAUACCCUGGUAGUCCACGCCGUAAACGAUGAGUGCUAAGUGUUGGAGGGUUUCCGCCCUUCAGUGCUGCAGCUAACGCAUUAAGCACUCCGCCUGGGGAGUACGACCGCAAGGUUGAAACUCAAAGGAAUUGACGGGGGCCCGCACAAGCGGUGGAGCAUGUGGUUUAAUUCGAAGCAACGCGAAGAACCUUACCAGGUCUUGACAUCCUUUGACCACUCUAGAGAUAGAGCUUCCCCUUCGGGGGCAAAGUGACAGGUGGUGCAUGGUUGUCGUCAGCUCGUGUCGUGAGAUGUUGGGUUAAGUCCCGCAACGAGCGCAACCCUUAUUGUUAGUUGCCAUCAUUUAGUUGGGCACUCUAGCAAGACUGCCGGUGACAAACCGGAGGAAGGUGGGGAUGACGUCAAAUCAUCAUGCCCCUUAUGACCUGGGCUACACACGUGCUACAAUGGGAAGUACAACGAGUCGCAAAGUCGCGAGGCUAAGCUAAUCUCUUAAAGCUUCUCUCAGUUCGGAUUGUAGGCUGCAACUCGCCUACAUGAAGCCGGAAUCGCUAGUAAUCGCGGAUCAGCACGCCGCGGUGAAUACGUUCCCGGGCCUUGUACACACCGCCCGUCACACCACGAGAGUUUGUAACACCCGAAGUCGGUGAGGUAACCUUUUGGAGCCAGCCGCCUAAGGUGGGAUAGAUGAUUGGGGUGAAGUCGUAACAAGGUAGCCGUAUCGGAAGGUGCGGCUGGAUCACCU